rnacentral:lncRNA from 1 species
UGGCUGCUGCUGCUGCUGCUGCUGCUGCAAAUACUAUAGAGAGCUGCUGUUUGCUUCUGAAAAUUAAUAUAAUCAAAACCUCCUUUUAUUUCUCUUUUCCCGAAAACGAAUCUUAUUGAAAGGGAGACAUGGGAGAUGGCUCCGAAAGCAGCUCACAUAUUAUUCCCUCUACGACUACGGCCGGCCAUACCUCCAAUUAUUUCUUUGCUCUGUUCCUCUUUACUUUCAAACAUUCACUCAUACAUAUAUCUAUAUAUGUUUUUUCUUAUUGUGGAAAUCAUGUUGAGUAUUUUCCAUUUAUUAUUUAUUACUUUCUUACUCACUAGCAAAUUUACUUCUUUCUUAACAUAUAUAUUUUGAGACUGC